rnacentral:rRNA from 1 species
UACGUAGGUGACAAGCGUUGUCCGGAUUUACUGGGCGUAAAGAGCUCGUAGGCGGCUUGUUGCGUCGACUGUGAAAACCCGCGGCUUAACUGCGGGCUUGCAGUUGAUACGGGCAGGCUAGAGUUCGGUAGGGGAGACUGGAAUUCCUGGUGUAGCGGUGAAAUGCGCAGAUAUCAGGAGGAACACCGGUGGCGAAGGCGGGUCUCUGGGCCGAUACUGACGCUGAGGAGCGAAAGCGUGGGGAGCGAACAGG